rnacentral:rRNA from 1 species
UGAGGAAUAUUGGACAAUGGAGGCAACUCUGAUCCAGCCAUGCCGCGUGAAGGAUGACUGCCCUAUGGGUUGUAAACUUCUUUUAUAUAGGAAGAAACAGUUUCUCGUGAGAAACCUUGACGGUACUAUAUGAAUAAGCACCGGCUAACUCCGUGCCAGCAGCCGCGGUAAUACGGAGGGUCCAAGCGUUAUCCGGAAUCAUUGGGUUUAAAGGGUCCGCAGGCGGGCCAGUAAGUCAGGGGUGAAAGUUUGCGGCUCAACCGUAAAAUUGCCUUUGAAACUGUUUAUCUUGAGUUAUUGUGAAGUGGUUAGAAUAUGUAGUGUAGCGGUGAAAUGCUUAGAGAUUACAUGGAAUACCGAUUGCGAAGGCAGAUCACUAACAAUAUACUGACGCUGAUGGACGAAAGCGUGGGGAGCGAACGGGAUUAGAUACCCCGGUAGUCCACGCCGUAAACGAUGGAUACUAGCUGUUCGACCUUCGGGUUGAGUGGCUAAGCGAAAGUGAUAAGUAUCCCACCUGGGGAGUACGUUCGCAAGAAUGAAGCUCAAAGGAAUUGACGGGGGCCCGCACAAGCGGUGGAGCAUGUGGUUUAAUUCGAUGAUACGCGAGGAACCUUACC